rnacentral:rRNA from 1 species
UACGUAGGGUGCAAGCGUUAAUCGGAAUUACUGGGCGUAAAGCGUGCGCAGGCGGUUUUGUAAGUCUGUCGUGAAAUCCCCGGGCUCAACCUGGGAAUGGCGAUGGAGACUGCAAGGCUAGAAUCUGGCAGAGGGGGGUGGAAUUCCGCGUGUAGCAGUGAAAUGCGUAGAGAUGCGGAGGAACACCGGUGGCGAAGGCGGCCUGCUGGGCAGUUGCUGACACUGAGGCGCGACAGCGUGGGGAGCAAACAGG